rnacentral:rRNA from 1 species
AGGACGAACGCUGGCGGCGUGCUUAACACAUGCAAGUCGAGCGAACCUUCGGGUUAGCGGCGAACGGGUGAGUAACACGUGGGCAACCUGCCCCGAGCUCUGGGAUAACUCCGGGAAACCGGGGCUAAUACCGGAUAUGACCCGAGAAGACAUCUUCUCGGGUGGAAAGUUUUUCGGCUCGGGAUGGGCCCGCGGCCUAUCAGCUUGUUGGUGGGGUAACGGCCUACCAAGGCGACGACGGGUAG